rnacentral:tRNA from 1 species
AGUAAAAUGACUGAAAUUGAUAGGUGAUAAAUUGUAAAUUUAUUUAUAAGUGUUAAACUUUUUUACUA